UCUCCAACAGGUCUCCUGUGACGAGGCUGCCCCCAUCGUAAUUAAGGCUGGAGAGCAAUGGAGGGAAAGAAUCUCCUGUCUCACCUAGGCCAAAAAAAUCUCAAGAAAUAAAAAUGAAUGAAUGAGUGACUCUGGGAAGAACCUCAGGGUUUCUGACCAAAGCAAAAAUGAUUGGGAUUUACACUAAGUCUGAGUCAAUCAGGACCCAAACAAAGACCAAAUGGGGUUUAGCAAGGGACCUAUGGGUGGUCAAUGAGAAUCAGACUGAUUUGGGUUUAAGGUUUGUUCCUAAAGAAAGGAAUUAGGGCAGCUAGUGGAGCAGUGGAUAGAGCAGCAGCCCUGAAGUCAAGAGGACCCGAGUUUAAAUCUGGCCUCAGACACUUAAUACUUCCAAGCUGUGUGUCCCUGGAAAAAUCACUUAAACCCAAUUGCCUCAUGAAAAGAAAAAAAGAAAUAAAGGAAGAAAAGAAAGGAAGGAGGGAGGGAGGGAGGGAGGGAAGGAAGGAAAGAUAAAAGAAAUCUAUCCAGGGAUGGCUCAGUGGUGAAGAAAGAGGGGGGGAAAUGCUUUUAAGAGCAUCUACAGGUUAGGGUAUAUAAUAUCCUAAGUGAACAGAGGGAAGGAAGGUGUAAGGUUCUGGUUGGUUUUCAGGAAGACCAUCCUUCCUUUCAGUUGACUAAUCACCGGGAGAACAGCCACAUGUUAAAAUCCAAAUCUUUAUUAUCACCUUCAAAAUCUUGUCUCCUUGCCUGGGGCUCCGGCGAGCUUUCUUGGAAGCCUUCUGGAGUCUUGGCUUCAGUGUAGAAGCGAAGGAGGAGAGGCCGGCCACCAUGAUGCUGUGAGAUGGAGUGAAUGUCUCUCCUUGGCUCCAAGAGCUUCAGCUCCUGCCUCCAGUCCUCUUGUCUUCUCAGAGUCUGACUCUGACCUAGUUUAUAUGCUCUGUUUUAUAGCUUAUAUGCUCUGUCAUAGGUGUGAAUCUUGUAGAACUAUAUUAAGUCCUAAGUACAUGUACUAAACUAGAGAACUAUUAAUCACCAAGCUAAACUAGAUAACCAUUGUCUUAGCAAUUCCACUGACUUAGCACCUUGUAAGAAUCCUUCUUUUAGGUACAGAGUUCUGGCCCAUAACAGGAAGGAAAGAAGAAAAGAAAUAUCUAAACAGGCCAGAAAGGAAGAAGAGAGGGGAGAAAAGAGAAGGGAGAGAGAGAGGGAAGGAAGCAGGAACUGCUUCCAACUGAUGGAUUCCAGCUUGUGGCCAGCUUUCCUCAGAGGAUGUUGCUUUUCCUAUAUAUCUGUACUUAACUGUAGCCUGUAUGUGGAGAGUUGGCAGAGGAUGAAAGUGGAGAGCAGAGAACAAAAGAAAAACUCCAGGAAAGGAAAAAGCCAUGGACGGUUCUGAAUACAAUAUCUUUCAUUUGUAGUUUAUGGCAAUUUAUUAUUACAUAUUUUGAAUCCUUCCUUAUGUUCUGCAGAAAAUAAAACUUUAAAAAAAAUUUUCCUUUUUUUUCUAUUUUAUUUUUAGUUUAAAUACAUAUCAAAAAGUAAAAAUAAAUGCUUUUGGGCUUAAAAAAGAGCUAAGAAAAGUCAUAUUAGACAACCUGAGACCUCUUUCUUUGGUUGUAGAUAGCUGGAUAUCCCAAAAUUUCCAAGAAAGACUUCCAUUAGGAUUAUUAAAUCUUCAUUAAAAGAGAACUGAAAUGCCAUGGAGUCCAAAGGCCUCAUUUUACAGAAGAACAGACUGAGGUUCAGUGAGGUGCUCAGGAUCUCACUACCACAAGAGUCUGAAAAGGGAUUCCAAGCCAGUUUUCCCAUCCCCACCCCCAUCAAAUCAAGAAGCCUCCUGGGAAGAAGCCUGCACUCCAGCUUGAAACUCACUCACCAGGGAGUUGUGAAUGAAUCCAACCAUUCUGGAGAGCAAUCUGGAAUUAUGCCCAAAAAGUUAUCAAACUGUGAUAACCUUUGAUCCAGCAGUGUUACUUCUGGGCUUAUAACCCAAAGAAAUACUAAAGAAGGGAAAGGGACCUGUAUGUGCCAAAAUGUUUGUGGCAGCUCUGUUUGUAGUGGCUAGCACUAGAAAUUGAAUGGAUGCCCAUCAAUUGGAGAAUGGCUGGGUAAAUUGUGGUAUAUGAAUGUUAUGGAAUAUUAUUGUUCUGUAAGAAAUGACCAGAAGGAUGAAUACAGAGAGACUUGGAGAGACUUACAUGAACUGAUGCUGAGUGGAAUGAGCAGAACCAGGAGAUCAUUAUACACUUCGACAAUGAUACUGUAUGAGGAUGUAUUCUGAUGGAAGUGGAUUUCUUUGACAAAGAGACCUAACUCAGUUUCAAUUGAUAAAUGAUGGACAGAAGCAGCUACAUCCAAAGAAAGAACACUGGGAAAUGAAUGUGAACUAUUUGCCUUUUUGUUUUUCUUCCCGGGUUAUUUUUACCUCCUGAAUCCAAUUCUCUCUGUGCAACAAGAGAACUGUUCGGUUCUGCAAACAUAUAUUGUAUCUAGGAUUUACUGCAACAUAUGUAACAUAUAUCUACAAACAUAUAUUGUAUCUAGGAUAUACUGCAACAUAUGUAACAUAUAUAGGACUACUUGCCAUCUAAGGGAGGGGGUAGAGGGAGGGAGGGGAAAAAUUGGAACAGAAGCGAGUGCAAGAGAUAAUGUAAAAAAAAUUACCCUGGCAUGGAUUCUGUCAAUAAAAAGUUAUUAUAAAAUAAAAUAAAAUUUAAAAAAUAAUCAUAAAAAAAAAAAGAAAGAAGCUCACUCACCAGGACAGGAGUUCCUCAGGUUUCCUCUCUCCACAUGGGAGAAGAAAUCUUCUCUGGGAACUGGACAUCCUGGGCAAAGGGAAGAUAGUGGGUGUGAGCCUGGAGAGACAGUUCUCAUUAGAAUAGGAGGGAUGCUAGGCUCACUGCAUGGUUCCAAGGGCAAUUCAAAGAUGGUACUUAUUGCCCAGAGAACAAGGCAGAGGGGAAAGGAGGCCAUGCAAGCAAUCAGGAAUCAGAACAUCCUGGUUUUGCUGCCUCCUUCACAGCAGGAUGGCCACAUCCCACAGCCUCCAUUUUCUGGAUAUUAAAAGCAGCUGGUAGCACAGAGAAGGGAGCACCGGGCCUGCAAUCAGGAAACCCCGAGUGCAAAUUUGGAUUUAGACACAUCCUGGCUAUGUGACUCUGGGCAAGUAAUUUCAUCUGUUUGCUUCAGCCUCCAAACCUGUGAAAUGGAGAUAAAGAUGGAGCUCAAAACAAAGUUUUUUUUUUUUUUUUUUGGGGGGGGCAUCAAGUGCUAUAAUGGGCAUGAAGGAAGCUCUGAGCACACAGCCUGAAUCCCAGAAAAUGUAUAGAAACACUGCCUCCUUUCCCUUUCUCUCCCUGUAUGUGUACAGGUCUUUGGGGGGUGUAUGAAGGAAGAACAAAGACCCACUUGCUGUGCUGGGGAUUUAUGGUUCACACCAGGGGCAGUGAGGUAAAAAUUUAUCCAUUUUACUCAAAAGAACAUUGCAACGACAAAGUGGUUCCCCCCAAGAGGAAGGGGUUCCUUCUCCUAUCCCAAGCUCAGUGAAAAGUGGCAGGAUUGCUUUUCAGAAGAUUUGCAGACAAAACUGCCUGGUUCCUACAGUGCAAAGACCAUUCACAGAAGAACCAGGCAGCAGGAGGACCCUGUCUCUUAAGGAUAGGAGGCAGCCCUUAGGCCUUUCUAGGAAGUAGUAAAAGUCUGAAACUCUGCCCCCUAGGGAGGGGAUGGUGACAUUCCUGUUGAUGGCAGUUCCAGAGUUCCAAGGGAAUGCUCCUUACCCAAAGGACCAAAGAGAGCAAGUUCUCAGCAUUCUCCAGCACGACCUCCUUGUGCAGCUCUUUCUGAUUUGGUCCAACAGAUCCCACUCCUCAGGACUGAAGUCCACAGCCACAUCCUUGAAGGUCACCAGCUCCUAAAACACCAAUCCCCAGAGGACAUAAGAAUUGAAACACGCUUCAUAACUGACUUAAUGCAAUGCUCCUUAAUUUACAGAAGGGACCUGAAGUAUGGAGGAGGGAUCUGCCCAAAGGUGACAGCCCUUACAGGAUUCAGAGCCAGCACUGAAACCAAAGUCCCCCAAAGAACAGUAGACUAUAGAGAAACACACUUAACAUUUUCAUUUGGAAUAAAAUUGAGAAAUUUCUUUAAAAAUAGGAAAUGGCACUGCCUGUGGAAUCAGGGAAGUUAUGGGUUCUAUGACAGAGAGAUGAGGAUUUAUGGAGGUGAAAUCAGACAGUGCUAUGUUAAGAACAUGCCAUCAAGCUAGUGAGUGUUGUGUAUCGUAAGGCUAAAACAUUUCCUUGACCACUCAAGAGAAAAAAAGAUCCUGUAAAUUUUCCAAAAUCCAGAAAUUAAGUCUUAUCCAGAUGAAAACAUUUUCCUUCCCCAGUAGUAUUUUAUUUUUCCAAAUGCAAGUACAGAUAGUUUUUCACAUUCAUUUUCAUAAGAUUUUGUGUUCCAAAUUUCAGAAUCACACAUUUCAUAAUGGAUCUGGCCCAAUGGUCCUCAAUUUACAAAAGCAAACAGAAGCAGAGAGACAAGAUUUACUCAAAGGUGAAAUCCUGUAUGAGAACACUUGGAAGCACAGUCAUGGAAAGACCUUUCACCUACACUGUACAGAGUUGGUGUGGACACAGCUGCUGACAUAUUGUCUUCCAUGUGAGAAUGGAAGCUUCUUGAGGGCAGGGACUGAUUUUUCCUUCUUUGCAUCUCCUCUACAUUCCCACAGAGCCUCUUCCCUUUCUAAAUGCCUGUUGCUUUGACCUAAACAAUGGUAAAAGGAGAAAAAGGCUUGGGAUGAGCUGAAUAUGAUGGAGUUAUUCUAGAAGUACCUAAUUGCAGCUUUGGGGGCAUGGAGGGUGUCAGGAGAUAAAGCAAAUAAAACAGAACAAAAGAAAACAUACCAGGAAGCCAUGAAACACUGGACAGCUCCUGAAAAAUGUGUAGCAUUCAUUAAGUAGAUUUUGUUUUAUAUUGAACCUGCUAUUAUGUUCUGCUGGUUGCUUGAAAUUUUUUCUUCUCUUAUUUUAUAUUUAGGGUUAAAUAAAUUAUAAUAGGGGCCAUUAGAUGGCGCAGUGGCUAGAACAUUGGCCUUGGGUCCAAAUUCAGGCUCAAACACUUAAUUCUUCUGAGUUGUGUGACCCUGGGCAAAGUCACUUCAAGCAAUUGCCUGGGGGGA